GACGAACGCUGGCGGCGUGCCUAAUACAUGCAAGUUGAGCGCUGAAGGUUGGUACUUGUACCAACUGGAUGAGCAGCGAACGGGUGAGUAGCGCGUGGGGAAUCUGCCUUUGAGCGGGGGACAACAUUUGGAAACGAAUGCUAAUACCGCAUAAAAACUUUAAACACAAGUUUUAAGUUUGAAAGAUGCAAUUGCAUCACUCAAAGAUGAUCCCGCGUUGUAUUAGCUAGUUGGUGAGGUAAAGGCUCACCAAGGCGAUGAUACAUAGCCGACCUGAGAGGGUGAUCGGCCAAAUUGGGACUGAGACACGGCCCAAACUCCUACGGGAGGCAGCAGUAGGGAAUCUUCGGCAAUGGACGAAAGUCUGAACGAGCAACGCCGCGUGAGUGAAGAAGGUUUUCGGAUCGUAAAACUCUGUUGGUAGAGAAGAACGUUGGUGAGAGUGGAAAGCUCAUCAAGUGACGGUAACUACCCAGAAAGGGACGGCUAACUACGUG
rnacentral:rRNA from 1 species